UGGGGAAUUUUGGACAAUGGGCGAAAGCCUGAUCCAGCAAUGCCGCGUGUGUGAAGAAGGCCUUCGGGUUGUAAAGCACUUUUGUCCGGAAAGAAAUCCUUGGCUCUAAUACAGUCGGGGGAUGACGGUACCGGAAGAAUAAGCACCGGCUAACUACGUGCCAGCAGCCGCGGUAAUACGUAGGGUGCAAGCGUUAAUCGGAAUUACUGGGCGUAAAGCGUGCGCAGGCGGUUUGCUAAGACCGAUGUGAAAUCCCCGGGCUCAACCUGGGAACUGCAUUGGUGACUGGCAGGCUAGAGUAUGGCAGAGGGGGGUAGAAUUCCACGUGUAGCAGUGAAAUGCGUAGAGAUGUGGAGGAAUACCGAUGGCGAAGGCAGCCCCCUGGGCCAAUACUGACGCUCAUGCACGAAAAGCGUGGGGAGCAAACAGGAUUAGAUACCCUGGUAGUCCACGCCCUAAACGAUGUCAACUAGUUGUUGGGGAUUCAUUUCCUUAGUAACGUAGCUAACGCGUGAAGUUGACCGCCUGGGGAGUACGUCGCAAGAUUAAAACUCAAAUGAAUUGACGGGGUCAUAGCUGC
rnacentral:rRNA from 1 species